rnacentral:pre_miRNA from 1 species
UCAACCCAUUUAACUUUCUAACCCAUCAAAUUAAAUGAGUUCAUGGGUUAAUCUAAAUGAGUUGAGUAACCCAUAAACUCAUUUAACUCUAAACUCAUUGGGUAAUGAGU